AUUGAACGCUGGCGGCAGGCCUAACACAUGCAAGUCGAGCGGAUGAAGGGAGCUUGCUCCUGGAUUCAGCGGCGGACGGGUGAGUAAUGCCUAGGAAUCUGCCUAGUAGUGGGGGAUAACGUCCGGAGACGGGCGCUAAUACAGCAUACGUCCUGAAGGAGAAAGUGGGGGAUCUUCGGACCUCACGCUAUCAGAUGAGCCUAGGUCGGAUUAGCUAGUUGGUGGGGUAAAGGCUUACCAAGGCGACGAUCCGUAACUGGUCUGAGAGGAUGAUCAGUCACACUGGAACUGAGACACGGUCCAGACUCCUACGGGAGGCAGCAGUGGGGAAUAUUGGACAAUGGGCGAAAGCCUGACCGAGCCAUGCCGCGUGUGUGAAGAAGGUCUUCGGAUUGUAAAGCACUUUAAGUAGGGAGGAAGGGCAGUAAGUUAAUACCUGGCUGUUUUGACGGUACCAACAGAAUAAGCACCGGCUAACUACGUG
rnacentral:rRNA from 1 species